UGAAUUUAAGCAUAUAACUAAGCGGAGGAAAAGAAACUAACUAGGAUUCCCCCAGUAGCGGCGAGCGAAGCGGGAAGAGCCCGGGAUGAAAAUCUCUUCGGAGAGUUGUAGUCUUGAGUACUCUUGGGCGGUCAGUGUGGGUAAAUCAUCUGGGAUGAUGUGCCAUGGAGGGUGAGAGCCCCGUCCAGCCCACACAGGACCCGCCCGCACGAGAGUGCUUCAACCGAGUCGGGUAGCUUGGGAAUGCUGCUCUAAUUGGUGGUAAAUCUCAUCAAAGGCUAAAUAUCGGUGGGAGACCGAUAGCGAACAAGUACCGUGAGGGAAAGAUGGAAAGAACUUUGAAAAGAGAGUGAAAAGCGCUUGAAACCGUCACGAGGGAAGCGAAUUGCGUAAGUGGUGGUAUAGUACUGUUCAGCCACAUUUUCGGUGUGGUGUAUUCUGUACGUACCGUGCGUGCGUGGCUGGGCGGCGUGCGAAUUUGGCACGCUGUUCCUGGUGAGGGCUCCCUGCUUGUCGGGUGAGGACGCACGCAAAAUGACGCAAUACGACCCGUCUUGAAACACGGACCAAGGAGUCUAGCACGGCUGCGAGUCGAAGGGUGUUAAAACCCAAUAAGGGCGCAGUGAAAGCGAUAUGAAAGCAAAUUGGGGAGGCGUUGCGGUUUUAUACCAAAAUGUCCUACCUUGAGCACCUGUGCUGGGACCCGAAAGAUGGUGAACUAUGCCGGAGUAGGGCAAAGCCAGAGGAAACUCUGGUGGAGGCUCGUAGCGAUGCUGACGUGCAAAUCGCUCGUCGAACUUGGGUAUAGGGGCGAAAGACUAAUCGAACCAUCUAGUAGCUGGUUCCCUCCGAAGUUUCUCUCAGGAUAGCGGGCCGACGACGUGUUGUUUUGUGCGGUAAAGCGAAUGAUUAGUGCAUUUGGGGACCGAAGGUCUUCAGGCGAUUCUCAAACUUUAAAUGCGCAAGGGGGCGGCUGCUUGAUUGAGCCUGCUCUUUUAAAAACGUCGGCCCCGUGGGCCACUUUUGGUAAGCAGAACUGGCGAUAAGGGAUGAACCUUAAGCGCGGUUAAGGCGCCGCAUUGCCCGCUUAUAGACCCCACAAAAGGUGUUGAUUCAUCCAGACAGCAGGACGGUGGCCAUGGAAGUCGGA
rnacentral:rRNA from 1 species